AUGGAAAAGUGAGCCGCAAUGAGUUUCUUCUUGGCUUAUUUCGGCAUGGAUCUGCUGCUUCAGUCCCUUCCACACCCUGCAAGCAGAAGUAUCAUUUCCAUCAGAACUUUAAGGAGAACAGAUGCAGAACAGCAAUUCCAUCCUUGAUGUCCAGCACUGUUGGUUUGCAGCUGUUUUCUGGUCUUGAUGAUGGCACUGGUCAUGCAACACCAGAACAAAUAAUCAGCAUGUGGCAAGAAGGUGGAAUUAAAAACAGUCAGCAGAUACUAGAGACAUUAGAUUUUGAUGUGGAACAGAAGGUGAAUCUUGCAGAGCUGACCAAAGCACUCAACAAUGAAUUAUUGACCAGCAAAAAUGGAAUUCAUCAG